CCUACGGGAGGCAGCAGUGGGGAAUAUUGCGCAAUGGGCGAAAGCCUGACGCAGCGAAGCCGCGUGAGGGAUGAAGGUCUUCGGAUCGUAAACCUCUGUCAGCAGGGAAGAACGGUCACUGUGCUAAUCAGCAGUGAAUUGACGGCACCUGCAAAGGAAGCACCGGCUAACUCCGUGAGAGCGGCCGCGGUAAUACGGAGGGUGCGGGCGUUAAUCGGAAUUACUGGGAGUAAAGCGCACGUAGGCGGUAUGUCAAGUCAAGGGUGAAAUCCCCGCGCUCAACGUGGGAACUGCCUUUGAAACUGGCGUACUUGAGUGUGUGAGAGGAUAGUGGAAUUCCAGGUGGAGGAGUGAAAUCCGUAGAUAUCUGGAGGAACAUCAGUGGCGAAGGCGACUAUCUGGCACAUAACUGACGCUGAGGAGCGAAAGCGUGGGUAGCGAACAGGAUUAGAUACCCCUGUAGUC
rnacentral:rRNA from 1 species